GACGAACGCUGGCGGCGCGCUUAACACAUGCAAGUCGAACGGAAAGGCCUGCUUUCCCUUGUGGAUUGCGGGUACUCGAGUGGCGAACGGGUGAGUAACACGUGAGUGAUCUGCCCCCAACUUGGGUAUAAGCCUGGGAAACUGGGUCUAAUUCCCGAUAGGACUGCAGGGUGGUGCCUGUGGUGGAAAACGAUUUUCUAGUGGUUGGGGAUGAGCUUGCGGCCUAUCAGCUUGUUGGUGGGGUAAUGGCCUACCAAGGCGGCGACGGGUAGCCGGCCUGAGAGGGUGGACGGCCACAUUGGGACUGAGAUACGGCCCAGACUCCUACGGGAGGCAGCAGUGGGGAAUAUUACACAAUGGGCGGAAGCCUGAUGCAGCGACGCCGCGUGGGGGAUGACGGCCUUCGGGUUGUAAACUCCUUUCGACCGCGAGGAAGCCACCUGGUUGGAAGGGUGGUGACGGUAGUGGUAGAAGAAGCACCGGCUAACUACGUG
rnacentral:rRNA from 1 species